GAUGAAGAACGUAGCGAAAUGCGAUAAGUAGUGUGAAUUGCAGAAUUCAGUGAAUCAUCGAAUCUUUGAACGCACAUUGCGCCCGCCAGUAUUCUGGCGGGCAUGCCUGUUCGAGCGUCAUUACAACCCUCAGGCCCCCGGGCCUGGCGUUGGGGAUCGGCGGAGCCCCCCGUGGGCACACGCCGUCCCCCAAAUACAGUGGCGGUCCCGCCGCAGCUUCCAUCGCGUAGUAGCUAACACCUCGCGACUGGAGAGCGGCGCGGCCACGCCGUAAAACACCCAACUCUUCUGAAGUUGACCUCGAAUCAGGUAGGAAUACCCGCUGAACUUAAGCAUAUCAAUAAGCGGAGGA
rnacentral:misc_RNA from 1 species